UACGUAGGGUGCAAGCGUUGUCCGGAAUUAUUGGGCGUAAAGAGCUCGUAGGCGGCUUGUCGCGUCGGCUGUGAAAACCUGAGGCUCAACCUCGGGCCUGCAGCCGAUACGGGCAAGCUAGAAUUCGGUAGGGGAGACUGGAAUUCCUGGUGUAGCGGUGAAAUGCGCAGAUAUCAUUUGGAACGCCAAUGGUGAAAACAGGUCGCUGGGAGUGUGCUGACGCUGAGACACGAAAGCCAGGGGAGCAAACGGG
rnacentral:rRNA from 1 species